UGCGCGCGGGCAACGGAGGAAGAAGACGACCCCAGGCCAGGCUGGCCCCACCUUCCACGAGGCCCACCCGUCAGCCGCACGAGGAGUUGACCCCGGGCGCUGACGUGGAUAAGUGGCCGCGCAUUUCGCGAAAUACGCUUUCACCAAACCGAAAGCGUAUUUUCCCUCUGCUUCAGCUCAAAGUACAUUUUCGUUAUUCUGAAAGCGUAUUCCUCUCUGUUUCAGCCAGAAAAUGUUUUCUUAGUCAGAAAGCGUAUUUCUAAUUUUGCGCCUCUGUCUUAUCCACUCAGGGACCCGACUGUGAAUAUUAUUUUUACAGAAAAGUCCCUGAUGUUCCAACCCUCAUAUCUCCGCAACCGUAACUCCGAUUGAGGUGAAUCCAACGCCUGCUUCUUCGUCUCGUCGAGCCCGUUCUGUUGGUAUCAUUUUCGCUAUGGUUUGACAUUCCGAAAAUGACCAUUUUUCCCUUGCCCCUAAUCAGCCCCCUCCGAGAGAGUACCCUUUCCGGCGAUCUUUCCGCGGUUGUUUCGCACUUCUCCCCGGAGCCUUCUUCAUCCCCAGGCAAGCCACAACAACCAUUUGCAUGAUAGCCAUGCAGAAGUAUUGGUUUUCAACUUGAAUCUUUAAUAACUGUCUGUUUGUUCCGUUACUGCUGUGGGUAUUUCGGUUAUGCUUAUGGAUCGGUGUUUACCGUCAUGCUAUGUUUUCUUGCACUCUGUUAUUAUGUUCUUCAUGCUAGUAUUACUUUAAUGUUGGCAAUAUUUGGUAGUAGUACAUGUUGGUGAUGGUCUUUGAUGCAUGACUAUCGUCUGUUCCGAGUACCGCGGUUAUGCAUGUUUCUUUGCAUCCAGUUGAUGAAAUACUUGCAUGGUAGUUUUAUCGUUAUGUUAUUGCAUGGUAUUUAUUAUUGAUGCUAGUGGUCAUGUCAUGCUAUGGGUAGUGUGCUAGUUGUGAUAUUCAUGCUCGUCAGUAUGCCAUGCUCAUCUGGAUAAAUGGUUACAUGUUGUUGCUAUGCUCGUUGAUUAUGAUGCACCCCCAUGCUUAUGUUUGAUAUCAUGUUCAUGCAUUGUAGUUGCAUCCUGUUAUUUUUGUCAUGGCUCAGCAUAUUGCAUUCAAGUUUAACCGGAUUAAAUUGAACUUGAACAACUGUUGGCUGAGUCAUGGUGCCACCAUAUCGAUCUGACCAGUGCAACCACGCUUACCCUAUGGGGGGGGUCCUAAGUGGGUCUAUUGUCAUGCCUCUCACCGGUGCCUCCCACGAGGGAAGGUUAUGCGCGAGCGCUACCUGAUCAGGUAGGACGGCAUAAGCCUUGUGUUCCCGUUGUUGAGUAUGGAUCCUUGUCCCCGUUUGGGACCGUUUUGCCACGACGGUGGCCGUUGGUGCCUUUGGUAGGCACGGGGCCACCCAGGACUUAGCCCAAAGGGGAGUUGGUCGGAGUGGCCGGGAGGGUGUCAUGGCAGUAGGACGGUUUUGUCGGAACGCUUUGGUCCACCCGAAUGGGAGUGCGAGGCCAGGGUUCCGUGGUGUGGGUACAGUGUGCUAACCUCUGCAGAGAGUGUGUGUGUUACAUCUAUCGAUAGCCGCGCCCAUGGAUAUGGGCCCAGUUUGUAGUUGGUCACACUGUGGGUCAACAAUAAUAAUAAUAUGCUUAAUAACAACCCCGGUUCGAUGAUGAAAGAAGUUGGUUGAUAUUUAUGUGAUCGUAAGAGGAUCACUAUGGUGUCAUGAAUACCGACUUGUUGGAUAGUUGUGGUGUUAUGAGAGAGUCAAGGGUAAAGGUCAAGCUCCUUGUGGUCAUGAAUGAUUACUACGGUAUUGUUAAUACCAAGCUUGAUUGGAUCCUGAGAUGAUCGUGUGAUGUCCGUGAUGGUAAGUAUGUGCAGGUGAUGGUUAUGAGGUAACCCGAGCAGAGUAAGUUGGUGCAUGAUAGCGUCAUCAUGUUGCAUGCUAGUAUUACCAUGUUCAUAUGUUUAUGCCAUGCUCGUAUUGUUCUAGCUGUAUCAUGUUGUACAUGCCAUGUUGUUCUGAUAGUAUCAGGUUUAUCAUUGCUUAAUAAUUUGUAAUUGCCAUGCUGUUGUUUGUCUUGAUUGCUCUUGGUUGCUGUGAGCUUGCAAGUACAUUCAAUGUACUGACCUGGCGUGUCAUGCCAGUUUGCAGGUCAUGCCGGAUAUGAUUGCUUGUUUGCCGUGGAUCCCUUGUUUGUGAGCUAGGAUAAGCGUUCCAGCCAGAGUCCCUGCGGAGUGGAGUUCACCACCGUCGUCGUUGUUCCAUUGCUAGAAUUAUUCCGCUGCGUCGAGUUGUUCUGCUGCUUGCAUGGAGCAACCAUGGCAGGCGUAGUUUCGCCGUGCCAAUGUAACCCACCUUGUACCCACAUAGAUUGUAAUAAAGAGCUGAUUUGUUCUAUGCCAAGCAGUGCCGUAUUCCAGAAGACUUCUCCUCGAUCUCUGGGCUGGA
rnacentral:lncRNA from 1 species